rnacentral:misc_RNA from 1 species
CCUAAGAGAUACGUGUUAUGUGAAGUGCUCACACAGAUUGUCUGAUGAAGAACGAGCAAAAGCGCGUCUGCGAAGCUGACAGAAGUCCCCUUCGUCUAGAGGCCUAGGACACCGCCCUUUCACGGCGGUAACAGGGGUUCGAAUCCCCUAGGGGACGCCAAUGCGCGGUAUGAGUGAAAGGCGUACCACUUAUCUGACGAGAGUCAGAGAAUAACUAAGCUAAUUCAAAUGAGUUAUCUUACUUAUUAUGCUCUUUAACAAUCUGGAACAAGCUGAAAAAUUGAAAACAAAUCAAUAUAUCACCGAGGUAUAUUGAUGAGUCUCUCAAAAUCUCAAACCUUAAAGUUUGUCACGCAAAGUUUAUCUUUGAAAGAGACACUUUCGGGUUGUGA